GAAAUCUGACCCUUUGGGGUCCGAGUUGUAAUUUGCAGAGGGUGUUUCGGGCACGGUGCCGGUUUAAGUCCUUUGGAACAGGGCGUCAGAGAGGGUGAGAACCCCGUAUGUGACCGGUCGCCAAACCCAUGUGAAACCCCUUCGACGAGUCGAGUUGUUUGGGAAUGCAGCUCAAAAUGGGUGGUAAAUUUCAUCUAAAGCUAAAUAUUGGCCAGAGACCGAUAGCGCACAAGUAGAGUGAUCGAAAGAUGAAAAGCACUUUGGAAAGAGAGUCAAACAGCACGUGAAAUUGUUGAAAGGGAAGCGCUUGCGACCAGACCUGCUCGCGGGUGAUCAGCGGUGCUUUUCGCGCCGUGCACUCAUCCGCGAUCAGGCCAGCAUCGGUUCAGGCGGCCGGAUAAAGACUCGGAGAAUGUAGCUCCCUCCGGGGAGUGUUAUAGCUCCUUGUGCAAUACGGCCAGCCGGGACCGAGGACCGCGCUUCGGCUAGGAUGCUGGCGUAAUGGUCGUAAGCGACCCGUCUUGAAACACGGACCAAGGAGUCUAACAUCUGUGCGAGUGUUUGGGCGUCAAACCCAUGCGCGCAAUGAAAGUGAACGUGAGGUGGGAACCCUUUCGGGGGCGCACCAUCGACCGAUCCAGAUGUCUUCGGAUGGAUUUGAGUAAGAGCACAGCUGUUGGGACCCGAAAGAUGGUGAACUAUGCCUGAAUAGGGUGAAGCCAGAGGAAACUCUGGUGGAGGCUCGCAGCGGUUCUGACGUGCAAAUCGAUCGUCAAAUUUGGGUAUAGGGGCGAAAGACUAAUCGA
rnacentral:rRNA from 1 species